rnacentral:tRNA from 1 species
GCACCCAAUUGGCAGACAAAUGAAAUAGACUUAGAUUCUACCUAUCAAAAC